UACAGAGGGGGCAAGCGUUGUUCGGAAUUACUGGGCGUAAAGGGCGCGUAGGCGGCCUUCUAAGUCGAACGUGAAAUCCCCGGGCUCAACCCGGGAACUGCGUCCGAUACUGGAAGGCUUGAAUCCGGGAGAGGGAUGCGGAAUUCCAGGUGUAGCGGUGAAAUGCGUAGAUAUCUGGAGGAACACCGGUGGCGAAGGCGGCAUCCUGGACCGAGAUUGACGCUGAGGCGCGAAAGCCAGGGGAGCAAACGGG
rnacentral:rRNA from 1 species